rnacentral:rRNA from 1 species
GACCAGACUCCUACGGGAGGCAGCAGUGGGGAAUAUUGCACAAUGGGGGAAACCCUGAUGCAGCGACGCCGCGUGAGUGAAGAAGUAUUUCGGUAUGUAAAGCUCUAUCAGCAGGAAAGAAAAUGACGGUACCUGACUAAGAAGCCCCGGCUAACUACGUGCCAGCAGCCGCGGUAAUACGUAGGGGGCAAGCGUUAUCCGGAUUUACUGGGUGUAAAGGGGGCGCAGACGGCGAUGCAAGCCAGGAGUGAAAGCCCGGGGCCCAACCCCGGGACUGCUCUUGGAACUGCGUGGCUGGAGUGCAGGAGGGGCAGGCGGAAUUCCUGGUGUAGCGGUGAAAUGCGUAGAUAUCAGGAGGAACACCGGUGGCGAAGGCGGCCUGCUGGACUGCGACUGACGUUGAGGCCCGAAAGCGUGGGGAGCAAACAGGAUUAGAUACCCCUGUA